UAGGAACCACUGUGGAAACCCAGUCAGGAA
rnacentral:piRNA from 1 species